CCCAGAGCAAAGACCCACUAAGCUCACUGAGAAAGCCUCGUUUCUUGGGAUAGCAUCAUGCAGUAAUGCACAAGACAAAUAGUUGGAAAAUGCUCUUCAGCCUUAAAUCACGUACCUGGAAAUAAGAAGAACAGAUUUACCACAGGACUAUUGCAUUAUUUCUUUGAACUUCAAAACAGAAGAAGAACGGAUUUCACAUCAUAUCAGCAGCCAGAUAAGUACAAUCUUAAUUGCAAUAUCCAUAUGGAACAACUUUAAAACUUUAUGGCUGUAUGGUCCUUUGUGCUAACGUGGAUCAGAGUAAAACACAAAGGAGUUGGGCUCCAAACACGGGGCAAUAUUCUGACAUUUCUGCUUGUUAAUGUUGCAAUUGCCCCUGCAAUUCUUAGUUGCAUGGGGGAAAAAAAGGUGCUGCUAUUUUACUAUUCUUUUAAUGGGGAAAGGGAUUUUUGUUUGUUUUGCUUGUUUUUUGUAAGAAAUACUACUUUAUACAUACACAAGGAAAUUCAAAUAAUUAAUUGAUGUUUAGAAACACAGAAGACCAUUGUGAUUUCUUUUCAGUGCAAGCAAAUAAAUCCCAUAGAUACAGAAAAUGUACUCCUGAGGAAACAAAUGGCCCAUUUUCAUUAUGCCAAACAACUUUCUUGACAACUUGACAACAUUUGCUGAACAAGAUUUUGGCAAUAGAAUGCUUUAAAAAGCAUUUUAUAAGGCUAUACGAUUCAAACUAUUUACUCUUAAGUGAAGUAUUAGUAGCAAGUAGGAAGUAAGGGAAGAGAAGAGAAAUGUUUCUUCUGUACGAAUCCCUGUGUUUCACUGCUGACAAGGGAAGUGAGUGCAGGCAGGUCGGAAUUGCUGGGACUGCACAAAACCAGCACCUUUGCUACAGCCAUAUGAGAAUUGGAGACAAAAAUAUAAUUGCUCAACAUUUCCUGAAUCAUAACAGCAGGUCAUGACUAAAUACUGCUCUCCUCUAAUUUAAACUCAAGGAGAGCCACAUACUUGGAUUUAAGUACAAAUUCAAACCUUUGGAUUUAGCUUGUCUUUCUUCUAAGUAAUUCUGUAUUUUCUUUAAUGCUUCUUCUCAAGUAGAAAUAGAUAGUGAAAUCAAAACUGACUCAUGGAGUCCUAGGGAAGGCAAGAUUCUGCUUGCAAUGCUUUAAAAUUAAUUGGAAAACUUCCUAAAUAUCAGUGACAUUUCCAAAAGUGCUGAAGAGUUCUGCUGUGGGAUAUAAAGGUAACUAUCUUGCUUUUAGCUCAUCUGUCUUUCAAAGAUAUUUAUCUGAAACUUUGAACAAAUUUGCAGCCCCUAAGAUAGACAAAAUACUGAUAACUGUCCAGGAUUAAGUAAAUGCAAAACUAGGCAUGAUUUUGUUUGAAGGUCAUAAAAAUUUUAAUGUUGCAGAUAAAUAAUAUGACCCAUUUCUUUAUUUGAAAUUAAUGAUAAUAUUUAACAUAUUCAGCAUACACCACUACAAAAGGUUAUCUGCUCUUUGGGUAGAUGGGUUCUCUUGUAACACAAAGAAAUGCUAAUAAUGCUGAUCCUAAAAAGAAAUGGUUUCAAAAAUGACCCAGUUGAAAUUUGAAAAUAAAUGUGUUCAGGUUUCCACUUAUAUGCUGCAGUACUUCCUAAUCAUGCAACAGUGUCACUUCUGCACACAACAAGCCAUCAACUAUUUUUAUUUUGACCUGAGCCUUCACACAAAGUAUUAAUUUACUUUGUAGCAUAAUGGAACCAGUUCUGCUGUCACCACAGAGAGCUGCUGUGCACUGCAUCAGAAAGAGAGAUGACAGAAAUUCCAGCAGCAGCAGAAUUUAAAUGUCUCGCCUGUAAUUCUGUUCAGUAGCAUCUUUGUGCAUCUGACAUGUGAAAUAUGUCUUUAGCUUUUGAGACAACAAAUGACAUUUGGUUUUGCUAAGAAGGCUUAGGAAGGGAAAGGCACAUUCAAAAUGUCACUUGUGUUACCACAGAGGUGUCCUCUGAAAAUGAGCCUAAAUAUCUAUGGAAUAUUUUAAUACUUAGAAAUUUUUCCAAAAAACCAUUAAACAAUUCAAGUUUUUUCCAUUCUAGAAAUGCAGGCAAGUGCUCUGACCUAGUUUACACAUUUAUUUCUCUACUAUUUUUUUACCCCAGCCCUCCCAAUUCAGUGGACUUGGAAAAUGCCAAAACAUGAACUGAUCUCUGAGAGGACAAUGAAGAGCACAGCAAAACCUGAGCACAUUUCUAUCCCAUUUCAUAGAGUACUAAGUCAAGUGCAUUUUGAACUUCCAAAAGUUAAAACGUCCUGUGGCAUAGGAGAACUUAUUUAAAUAUCAAAGACCAGUUUUUCUGAAUUAAAAACAUAAACAAAGCUGUUUGAAAAGACUAAAAAGUAUAAUUUUUUCAUACAUCAAUGUGAUAAUAAGAUUUCCUUAAAAACAGAUGAACUUCAAAUGUCCUUAUCAUUAGCAUGCUGGUAUUUUCCAGUACUCAUAUUUGCUGGCAACCUUUUUGUCCUUCCAGGAGAGAACACUUGUACUUAUUUACACAAAAUAAAGACAGCUUCACUUUGUAAGUUUAAUAUUUUGGGCAAGCAGUAAUAUACCAGUCUGUUAGCCAGUCUUAGCAGGAAAUAGUCCUAGUGCUGAUCACAAUGAGAUGACUCGUGGUCUCAGCUCAUUUUGAGAAGUUUAGUAAACAUGUUAUCUCUAGCACAGGGCUGAUGUAAUGUUUAUAAGUUCAAUCUGUCCUGUUUUGCCAUUGCUGGUGAUACUCUUGUUACCAAAACAGCCUAAAAGUGUUUUCUUCAUCAUAACCUUCUCAAGGUCACAUACAGAUGAUGUUUCAUCAUGAUUAAUAUUUGAAACUCAUUUUUAAAGACAAAUCCCCCAUGCUGUUAAAGCACCUCCCUGAAUUUAAAAUUUUAGUUCUUCCUAUAAUAAAGCUUGAACAACUUGAUAUUACAGAAAGCUUUUAAUUCAUCAUCUGAUCUGUAAGUAAAAUCCAUUUUGCCUGAAUAAUGAGUAUGUCAAAUUGUAUGGGGGGUUAUCUAUAUGAGUGCAAAUGUUUAUUUAACAUUAUGGUUAGAUGAGCAUCCAUACUUGUUAACAAAAGGAUCAAUACAUGUCCUUCAGGACACUUGAGCUAAGGCUGACAUAAUCACAGAGGAAAAACUUUAUGUAUAAAUUAGAAGGAAAGAGAAAAAACUCUGCAGCCUGAAUAACCUGGUUUGUCAAGGUUUGUUAAUACUCUUUUUACACUCAACACAUUUUCCAUUUCAAGCUGUCUUUAGAGUGCUUAAGUUGUGACUAUGAUCCUGUCACACACACUUUAAUUUCUAGCUUUGUAUCCUGUGAGUUUAACUGAACUCAGUGUAAUCCUGACACUCCAGGCUGCAGUGAUUCCAUCCCCUCUGUACUGACAAGGGGGUCUCUGCCCAUGUGUCACCAUCUGGGCCUGACCAGAAAUGCUGCAAUGGAAAAUCAACCCAGCUCCUCAGUCCUUAGCUGGCCUGUGUCAGGGGGUAUUGUUUGUAGCAGUGUUCCUUUAAUCCCUCUUCACCUCAAGGAAGAAGUUAUAACUGAAUGUGCACAUCAGGAAGAUCUGAUGGAUAGGGAAGUACAAUUUUUAGUAAUUUUCAGAAUAAACCAAAACUUUUGAAUUUCUCAGCAUUAUACAUGUAUAGAAUAUUUAUUAUAUGGAAGCUCACUACUGCUCUCAUGCCUCAGGGAUGAGUAGGACGUCAUAGGGCAAGUUCUGUCUUAAAGAUCUCAGGAACUUCUCUAAUUACCUCCAUAGACAGAAACUUCCCAAGACAGACUUUCUUGGAUUGUGCAAAUGUCUUUGUUUUUUUUUUUCUAUCUUUUUUCUGUGAUUAAGGUCCUCAGGAACUUCCACUAGGAAGGUGCCCAUGAGAACUUCAGGGAGAGCAUCCAGCACCUGUUAUUUGCUACGUACACCAUCUUUUAUCAUUUUUCACAGCUGUUUCAAAAGCUGGGGUUCCAGGUCUAUGUCUAAACCAACAGAACUUAGCUCUGUGUCUGAUAUUUGAAGGGUCAGAGUUGUGCCACUUCAGAAGCACUGAAUAUGCAGUAAGAGAAUGAGAACAAGUAAACAAAAUGCUCCAUUGCCAAGAAAGAGAAACUGAUAUGACAACUUGUAUAACUUAUUAUUACUAAUUAUGCUUAUCUAAAUAUUACUGUACCAGCAAAAAAUUCUUAUCUUAAACAAAGCCAUAGAAACAGUUGCAUAAGAAGUUUCAGUAAUGCAAUACUGGCUGCUUUCAAGCCUACGAUGUCUGCAGACAUUUCUACCAAUUAGAUCACCCAAAUAUGUGACAAGCCCAGAUAACGUGCUAAAAUCACAUUACAUUUUACUUCUUUGCAGCACUAGCACUGAAAACUAGAAUUUUGCUUUUACAGAGUCACUAUAUAACAUUUCUUCAAAACCAAAUUUUUCUCUGUUAAAAUCAAAUAUCUUUUUUUUUACUCUUAUCAAAUUCUGUGACAGAAACAACUGGUUACUAGUUAAUAAUGCAACAAUACUGCAUAUUAUUUGAUUCUUAUUCUGAUAGAUUUCUCUAGUUUGGAUAUAAAAAUGCAAGCAUAGAAAGAGAUUUUAGAUCCUCACUCUAUAGUACAAGUGUGAAUAUACAAGUUUUUGAUUAAACUGUACUUUAGUGAGAACUUUUUAAAAUAAUAACA